GCCUGGGUGGCUCAGUUGGUUAAGCACCAGACUUCGGCUCAGGUCAUGAUCUCGUGGUUCGUGGGUUUGAACCCCAUGUUGGGCU
rfam:Felis catus isolate Cinnamon breed Abyssinian chromosome F1, whole genome shotgun sequence.